UAUCGUAAUUGAAGAGGUUUGGAAAGACCCACCACAGAAGGUAAUAGUCCUGUAUGUUAAACGAGAAGACUUUAGAUAUGAUCCAGAGUACCACGGGACACGUGAAACCCUGUGGGAAGCAGGAGGGACCACCCUCCAAGGCUAAAUACUACCUAGUGACCGAUAGCGUAUAGUACCGUGAGGGAAAGGUGAAAAGAACCCCGGGAGGGGAGUGAAAUAGAACCUGAAACCCUGCACUUACAAGCUGUGGAAGCACAUUUCUUGUGUGACCGCGUACUUUUUGUAGAACGGGCCAACGAGUUACGUUAAGUAGCAAGGUUAAGCACUUAAGGUGUGGAGCCGUAGCGAAAGCGAGUUUUAACUGAGCGUUCAGUUACUUGACGUAGACCCGAAACCGGGCGACCUACCCAUGAGCAGGAUGAAGCGAAAGUAAAAUUUCGUGGAGGUCCGAACCCACGAGCGUUGAAAAGCUCGGGGAUGACUUGUGGGUAGCGGUGAAAUUCCAAUCGAGCCCGGAGAUAGCUGGUUCUCCCCGAAAUAGCUUUAGGGCUAGCCUCAAGGUGAGAGAUACGGAGGUAGAGCACUGAAUGUCCUAGGGGGUAUUGCACCUACCGAAGACUAUCAAACUCCGAAUGCCGUCAUCUUAUACUUGGGAGUCAGACUGUGGGUGAUAAGAUUCAUAGUCGAAAGGGCAACAGCCCAGAUCGUCAGCUAAGGUCCCUAAAUGUAAGUUAAGUGGUAAAGGAUGUGGGAUUGCACAGACAACCAGGAUGUUGGCUUAGAAGCAGCCACUCAUUCAAAGAGUGCGUAAUAGCUCACUGGUCGAGUGAUCCUGCGCCGAAGAUUUCCGGGGCUAAAACUUACUACCGAAGCUACGGCAUCAGUAAUGAUGGGUAGGGGAGCUUCCCAUACGGGUUGAAGCAUGACCGUAAGGACAUGUGGACAGUAUGGGAGUGAGAAUGUUGGCAUGAGUAGCGAGAUGUGGGUGAGAAUCCCACAGGCCGUAAACCCAAGGUUUCCAGGGGAAGGUUCGUCCGCCCUGGGUUAGUCGGGACCUAAGCUGAGGCCGAAAGGCGUAGGUGAUGGACAACAGGUUGAUAUUCCUGUACUACCGAUAACC
rnacentral:rRNA from 1 species